rnacentral:misc_RNA from 1 species
GAUGAAGAACGUAGCGAAAUGCGAUAAGUAAUGUGAAUUGCAGAAUUCAGUGAAUCAUCGAAUCUUUGAACGCACAUUGCGCCCCUUGGUAUUCCGAGGGGCAUGCCUAUUCGAGCGUCAUUAUCACCCCUCAAGCCUAGCUUGGUGUUGAGGCCUGCUGUCAAGGCAGCCUCUAAAAUCAGUGGCAGUGCUGUCAGGCUCUAAGCGUAGUAAAUCUAAUCGCUAUAGACACCUGGUGGACACUCGCCAGAACCCCCCCCCAUUUUUUAAUGAUUGACCUCGGAUUAGGUAGGGAUACCCGCUGAACUUAAGCAUAUCAAUAAGCGGAGGA